GACUCUCGGCAACAGAUAUCUCGGCUCUCGCAUCGAUGAAGAACGUAGCGAAAUGUGAUACUUGGCGUGAAUUGUAGAAUCCCGUGAACCAUCGAGUCUUUGAACGCAAGUUGCGCUCGAAGCCGUUAGGCUGAGGGCACGUCUGCCUGGGUGUCACGC
rnacentral:rRNA from 1 species